GACGAACGCUGGCGGCGUGCUUAACACAUGCAAGUCGAACGAAGAGCGAUGGAAGCUUGCUUCUAUCAAUCUUAGUGGCGAACGGGUGAGUAACGCGUAAUCAACCUGCCCUUCAGAGGGGGACAACAGUUGGAAAUGACUGCUAAUACCGCAUACGAUCUAAACUCGGCAUCGAGGAUAGAUGAAAGGUGGCCUCUACAUGUAAGCUAUCACUGCAGGAGGGGAUUGCGUCGGAUUAGCUAGUUGGAGGGGUAACGGCCCACCCAGGCGAUGAUCAGUAGACGGUCUGAGAGGAUGAACGGCCACAUUGGGACUGAGACACGGCCCAGACUCCUACGGGAGGCAGCAGUGGGGAAUCUUCCGCAAUGGACGAAAGUCUGACGGAGCAACGCCGCGUGAGUGAGGACGGCCGUCGGGUUGUAAAGCUCUGUUAAUCGGGACGAAAGGCCUUCUUGCGAAUAGUGAGAAGGAUUGACGGUACCGGAAUAGAAAGCCACGGCUAACUACGUG
rnacentral:rRNA from 1 species